GACAGAGGUGCCGAGCGUUAGGCGGAAUCACUGGGCUUAAAGCGUGUGUAGGCGGACCGUUAAGUGCCUUGCGAAAUCCCCCGGCUCAACCGGGGAACGGCUGGGCAUACUGGCGGUCUUGAGCCACCUAGGGGCGAGCGGAACAAGCGGUGGAGCGGUGAAAUGCGUAGAUAUCGCUUGGAACGCCGACGGUGAAAACAGCUCGCUGGGGGUGUGCUGACGCUGAGACACGAAAGCCAGGGGAGCGAACGGG
rnacentral:rRNA from 1 species